CAGUAGCCACGGGAAUACGGAGGAUCCGAGCGUUAUCCGGAAUUAUUGGGUUUAAAGGGUGCGUAGGCGGAUAGAUAAGUCAGUGGUGAAAGACGGUGGCUCAACCAUCGCAGUGCCGUUGAUACUGUUUAUCUUGAAUAUGGAUGAGGUAGGCGGAAUGUGGCAAGUAGCGGUGAAAUGCAUAGAUAUGCCACAGAACACCGAUUGCGAAGGCAGCUUACCAAGGCAAAAUUGACGCUGAGGCACGAAAGCGUGGGGAUCGAACAGGAUUAGAGACCCGCGUAGUCCCUGUCUCUUAUAC
rnacentral:rRNA from 1 species